rnacentral:lncRNA from 10 species
UUCUUUUCUGGAACUUAAUAAAAAGUCACUCAUCAUCCGUUUGUGAGUGAGAGCUGUCUGAGUAAACAGAAUUGACUACCAUAUUAUUUUUGAAUUGUCUCAUAGCUUCAACUCUGGAGAGAUAACAGUGGGGUUGAUGUAGAAAUCUUGCCUAAAUGCUCCCUACCAUGAAUGACCACAUGUUCCAGCAUGGUAUGCCAAGGAUCCCUUUGCAAUGUAACUCUACUCCUCCCUCCAUCAAGAAGUAGGGUCUAUUUCUCCACCCCUUGAAUCAGUCUGGUCUUGUGACUUGCUUUCAUCAAUAAAAUGUUGCAGAAGUGAAGUCUGAAAGCCCUGCUUGGAGAAAACAUGUAGCUUCUACUUUCAAUCUUGGAAUCCAGUCUCCACAAAAAGAAGUCCAGGCUAGCCUGCGGAGACAGAGAACAUGUGGAGAGAAAGAUCAUAGUGAAUGAACUACCAUAUGGAGAGUGAAGCCACAUGGAAGAGAACCACAUUGCCCCAGUUUGACAGUAACAGCAAAGCUCCAUUUAUUGAGAAUGAAGCAAUCUUUGAUCUCUUAGCCCUAAUCAAGUCACCCCAGCUGACAUCACAUGGAGUAGAGACAAGCCAUCCCCACUGAGCCCCAAAUAUCCAACCAACAAAACUG